rnacentral:rRNA from 1 species
GAUGAACGCUGGCGGUAUGCUUAACACAUGCAAGUCGAACGAAGUCUUCGGACUUAGUGGCGGACGGGUGAGUAACGCGUAAGAAUCUACCUAUAGGUUCGGGACAACAGUUAGAAAUGACUGCUAAUACCGGAUAUGCCUUCGGGUGAAAGUUUUAAUGCCUGUAGAUGAGCUUGCGUUCGAUUAGCUAGAUGGUGGGGUAAUGGCCUACCAUGGCGACGAUCGAUAACUGGUCUGAGAGGAUGACCAGUCACACUGGGACUGAGACACGGCCCAGACUCCUACGGGAGGCAGCAGUGGGGAAUUUUCCGCAAUGGGCGAAAGCCUGACGGAGCAAUACCGCGUGAGGGACGAAGGCUGUGGGUUGUAAACCUCUUUUGUUAGGGAAGAUAAUGACGGUACCUAACGAAUAAGCAUCGGCUAACUCCGNUGCCAGCAGCCGCGGUAAGACGGAGGAUGCAAGCGUUAUCCGGAAUUAUUGGGCGUAAAGCGUACGUAGGCUGUUUGAUAAGUCUGUUGUCAAAGCCCGAGGCUCAACCUUGGAUCGGCAAUGGAAACUGUGAGACUAGAGAGAGAUAGGG